GCGGGGGCGGGGGGCGCGCGGAGGCCUCGGUUUCGCCCGGGGCAGGAGGCGGCCUGGGGGCAGCCACCGCCCUCCCCUGGCUUUCUCUGGGAGAGGGUGCCUGGGACACCGCUUUCUGACAUUUUUACAGCUCAGAGGUUCUUAAGAGUUUUGUUUCUCCAGUGGAAGUUAACAGGCUGACUUUGUAGGGACACGCAGCCGCCCAUAUAUGCGUGUAGUAAGGACCGAUUUGGAAGACUCGUAAGAAAACACAGCGUUCCUUAAGCAAACACGGGCGAUGGAUUUAAAUGCUCGGAAUUAGAACAAAUCAACGACUGCAGGUGAAAUGGCUUUGCUAACCGUAAAAUAUAUUAUUAUUCAACAUGAAAACAGGAAGUCCCCCGUGAGCACAUGGUUUCAAGACAUACAAGUUGGACUAGAAUUGUAACUGAGUAGAUAUCCUAUUUCUGAUUGUCAUCCUAGAAUGCCUGCUGUGACACUGACAUCAUCAAUUCACCUAAUACAUGGGCACAGUUGGACCUGCCCCCAAAGCCUGUGAUUUGAGAAAACACAAGAAAACAUUCCCCUAGCCUCCAAAACACUUAGGCAAAAUAAAAUGAAAAUUGGGACAUGCUUCCUCAUGGAAUAUGGAGUAAUAUUUAGUAAGAUAAGUAAUUUCCUCAUCCCUAUCACAUUGUAAUACAUAAGUAUUUCUAAAGCAGGCUUACAUCUUUUUGCCAUAAUUUCUAGAAGAAUUGAGAGGAUUAAUUCAGGAAUGUGCAACAGCCAAGUGGUAAAACCAGAAAUGUAAUUUCUUUUCUCUUUCUUUUGAGAUGGAGUCUCACUCUUAUCACCGAAGCUGCAGUGCAGUGGUGUG